rnacentral:lncRNA from 1 species
AUUCCAUUAUAUUCCACGAUGUGUAAACAAUCCCCCAUCAGUCUUAAACUUUUUCAUUUCGAUUCACCAAGAAACUAUUGGUCCAGAUCUUACUAUGUAGUUUAAUUCAUAAAUUGUAUUUUCAUACAAGUAAGAGGUUAAAUUAAGAUGUAAAAGGUUUACUUGUAAACAUCAGGUAAAUCCACCACUUUCUACAUAAGGAAAUUUCCG